GGUGGCUCAGUGGUAGAGUGCUUACCUUGUAUGCAGGAGGCCCUGGGUUCAAUUCCUCAGCACCA
rnacentral:tRNA from 1 species